UCGUUAUCUGGGUGACCAGUACCUACCCCUUGAUGCCUGGCUCAUGCAGCCAUACACCAGGCGCCUGGACGUGGGUCAGGAGCUGUUCAACGUACAGGCAGAGCAAGUGCA